rnacentral:lncRNA from 1 species
AUCGUUUAGGACUGUGAUGCCUUAGACAGUUGGCUAUCAUGUGAGGCAGCCAUGCAUGUUUAGAAAGCUUUCACUUAUGAAAUCCUAGGAAACAAGUAAAAAGUUAAUUCAAAAAUUGACGCUCAGAAUUCCAUCAUGGAAGAGUGAGAUUCUCUUAACAUAUUUGGCAUUUCGCUCAUGAAACUUCUAAUUCUAUUUCAGCUUUUUGGUGAAGUUUUCUUCAAUAGUAGAUUGCUUGCAACUGCACCAACAUAAAUAUCUUCUGUCUGGUUGCAUGCUGAUAAAUUCUUGUAUAGAUGAUCAUCUCCACUAAUCCCAUCAUUGAGCAAAA